AUCUCCUCUAGGUAUUCUCUCAUUAGGUAAAAAAGCUGUUAUAAUCAGCUUAAUAUCUGUUAUAUCCUGACUCACGUGACUAGAAUAUUAGACUUAUUUUAGGCUCACGACGAAUUGCUAAGAGCAUGCUCUGACUCCGUCAUAGGAUGCUUCCUCGCUUUCGAAGUCUCGUAAGAUAUCCAAAUGCUC